CUUGAUAAUGGAGUGAUUAGUAAGUUUGUUCUUACACCUAUUGAUACAGGAUAAUAUCUUACUUUAUCAACAAUGUAUUAUUUUCAAAGUUAGAUGUACGACUUCUAAUUUUGUUGAUUCAUUUCAAAUUGUAGCCAACAUUAGGUCUUGCUGGGAAUAAAUCUUAAACGAGAGAUAAUUCAUUAUCUUGACCCAGUGGCGGUAGACAUUAGUAUGAGGCAAGAUUUGAAGAAAUUGUUUGACAUGUUAUACAAACCUAUCGAGCUUAAACAAGAUUCAUGGUUUCAAAGUCUAAGUCAAACAAUAUCAAGUGGACAACAAUUAAGGUACAUUAAUCUAGUAUGUUUUGUGCAAUAUAGUUUUGACUAUGAUAAUUAAAUUGUUGAAUGACUUUUAGUUCACGUUAUGUCUGCUUACAUUGUAUUGGUUAGGUGAAUAACUUAUAUUCUUGAAUGGUUGAAGACUUAUUUCCUGGUUGUCUGAUAUUAGUUAGUUAAAUGACUUGUAUUAUUGGGAAACUGGUUGGAGGAGUAUACGGGUGUAAUGAAAAUAUGACUUAAGAGUUUAAACUUGUAUAUGAUAUAUAGUUAUUUGUUAUCAUGCACUAGAUCUGUUUGGAGUAUACUAG
rnacentral:sRNA from 1 species